UCGCCUUAGGAUGGGACUGCGUCCGAUUAGGUUGUUGGCGGGGUAACGGCCCACCAAGCCAUUGAUCGGUACGGGUUGUGGGAGCAAGAUCCCGGAGAUGGAUUCUGAGACAUGAAUCCAGGCCCUACGGGGCGCAGCAGGCGCGCAAACUUUACAAUGCGAGCAAUCGUGAUAAGGACACCCUGAGUGCCUGUCGAUGCAGGCUGUUCAUAUAUCUAAAUCAUAUGUGAAGAAAGGGCAGGGCAAGACCGGUGCCAGCCGCCGCGGUAAUACCGGCUGCUCGAGUGAUGGCCACUAUUACUGGGUUUAAAGCGUCCGUAGCUUGACUGUUAGGUCUCUUGGGAAAUCUUCACGCUCAACGUGAAGGCGUCUAAGAGAUACCGGCAGUCUUGGAACUGGGAGAGGUAAACCGUACUUCGGGGGUAGGAGUGAAAUCUUGUAAUCCUCGAGGGACGACCUAUGGCGAAGGCAGUUUACCAGAACAGCUUCGACAGUGAGGGACGAAAGCUGGGGGAGCAAACGGGAUUAGAUACCCCGGUAGUCCCAGCCGUAAACAAUGUGCGUUAGGUGUGUCGGUAACCACGUGUUACUGGUGCGCCGAAGAGAAAUCGUGAAACGCACCACCUGGGAAGUACGGUCGCAAGGCUGAAACUUAA
rnacentral:rRNA from 1 species